rnacentral:rRNA from 1 species
UGGGGAAUUUUGGACAAUGGGCGAAAGCCUGAUCCAGCAAUGCCGCGUGUGUGAAGAAGGCCUUCGGGUUGUAAAGCACUUUUGUCCGGAAAGAAAUCCUUGGCUCUAAUACAGUCGGGGGAUGACGGUACCGGAAGAAUAAGCACCGGCUAACUACGUGCCAGCAGCCGCGGUAAUACGUAGGGUGCAAGCGUUAAUCGGAAUUACUGGGCGUAAAGCGUGCGCAGGCGGUUUGCUAAGACCGAUGUGAAAUCCCCGGGCUCAACCUGGGAACUGCAUUGGUGACUGGCAGGCUAGAGUAUGGCAGAGGGGGGUAGAAUUCCACGUGUAGCAGUGAAAUGCGUAGAGAUGUGGAGGAAUACCGAUGGCGAGGGCAGCCCCCUGGGCCAAUACUGACGCUCAUGCACGAAAGCGUGGGGAGCAAACAGGAUUAGAUACCCUGGUAGUCCACGCCCUAAACGAUGUCAACUAGUUGUUGGGGAUUCAUUUCCUAGUAACGUAGCUAACGCGUGAAGUUGACCGCCUGGGGAGUACGGUCGCAAGAUU